ACUUCGGUGUGAGUAAAGCGGCGGACGGGUGAGUAACGCGUAGGAAUCUACCUAGUAGUGGGGGACAACUCGGGGAAACUCGAGCUAAUACCGCAUACGCCCUACGGGGGAAAGCGGGGGACCUUCGGGCCUCGUGCUAUUAGAUGAGCCUGCGUUGGAUUAGCUAGUUGGUGGGGUAAAGGCCUACCAAGGCGACGAUCCAUAGCUGGUCUGAGAGGAUGAUCAGCCACACCGGGACUGAGACACGGCCCGGACUCCUACGGGAGGCAGCAGUGGGGAAUAUUGCGCAAUGGGCGAAAGCCUGACGCAGCCAUGCCGCGUGUGUGAAGAAGGCCUUCGGGUUGUAAAGCACUUUCAAUUGGGAGGAAAGGUUCACGACUAAUACUCGUGAGCUGUGACGUUACCUUUAGAAGAAGCACCGGCUAACUCCGUGCCAGCAGCCGCGGUAAUACGGAGGGUGCGAGCGUUAAUCGGAAUUACUGGGCGUAAAGCGCGCGUAGGUGGUCUGUUAAGUCGGAUGUGAAAGCCCCGGGCUCAACCUGGGAACUGCACCCGAUACUGGCAGACUAGAGUGCGGGAGAGGGAGGUAGAAUUCCACGUGUAGCGGUGAAAUGCGUAGAUAUGUGGAGGAAUACCAGUGGCGAAGGCGG
rnacentral:rRNA from 1 species